GCCUGGGUGGCUCAGUCGGUUAAGCAUCUGACUUCAGCUCAGGUCACGGACUCGUGGCUCACGGGUUCAAGCCCCGUCUCUGGAU
rnacentral:tRNA from 1 species